rnacentral:rRNA from 3 species
UCCGGUGUCUCAAGCGGAGAGGCCACACCUGUUCCCAUCCCGAACACAGCAGUUAAGCUCUCCAGCGCCGAUGAUACUCUUUCGGGGAAAGUAGGCCGAUGCCGGGA